rnacentral:lncRNA from 1 species
GUUUCUAUCUCUAGUGUUGCCUCGCUUUGAGUUUUCUUUAUUGUGUCUACUUCCCUUUUUAGGUCUAGUAUGGUUUUGUUCAUUUCCAUCACCUGUUUGUAUGUUUUUUCCUCUUUUUCUGUAAGGACUUCUACCUGUUUGAUUGUGUUUUCCUGUUUUUCUUUAAGGACUUGUAACUCUUUAGCAGUGUUCUCCUGUAUUUCUUUAAGUGAUUUAUUAAAGUCCUUCUUGAUGUCCUCUACCAUCAUCAUGAGAUAUGCUUUUAAAUCUAGGUCUAGGUUCUCAGGGAGAAACAAACCGCGCAGCAUAUUUGGAUAGUUUUUCAUUACAAUAGUUGGUUGUGCAGAUCCAUUUUAAUACUGAAGAGAAGAUCGAUUACCAGUAAUAACUUGCAUGUCUCAAAGUGGCCGAUCAAGCUGGGUGGCCAUGCUACUUCGGCAGAUUCUGCCCCUCCUAAUGUGGCCCGUGUUUUCCCCUCACAUCUGCCAACACUCCAUCGAUUCUGGGGAACCUUUUUUUUGGAGCUAAAUGGUAUUAAUUGGAGAGUGGAAAAGUGAUGUUACUUAAUUAACCUGAGAUGGUAGCCUCUGUUGAAAACCUACAACUACCAGUGCAGGUUACUACAACUCUAGUGAUGAGAUCUGAUGAUAAAAAUCUAUUUUCUUGCUUGGUAACCGAGGGAUGUCCCUUCUAGAAGAAUCUUCAGAGUGUAUCACAUGUAGAAGAUGGACCAAAUGGCCCUUACAUCAGUUAUACUUCCUCAGGUAGUUUCAGCUUAAAUGGUCAACUCAGCAAUCAACGAUGGGUCACCUUUAACUCUUCUGGAGAACUCGGUGCUUCCUUCCCAAGGAUGCUCCUUUAUGGCCAAGGAGUCACGCUCUCAGCUGCUUGCUUAGAGAACUUGUGUGAGUUCAAAGCUUCUUCAUGAAGAAGAAUCUCUUCGUAGCACUGAAAGAGUGGAAGUUAUCAGUGGAAGAAAAUUUAAUUUGACGGAUAAGAGGGCAUAGAAUCACCAGGGUGAGAAGCCCCUUGGAAGAUCUACCCAAUUAUGUCAGGACAACUCAUGGGCUGGGAGCCCAGGCUGGAUAAAGAGUAGGAAGCAGAUUGACCGCCAACAUUCCUUCUCUGUCUCCUGAUGGUGGACUGAAUGCUGAGCUGUCUCACAGCCCCGCUACCAUGCUGUCCCGCUAUGGUGGACUGCAGGCCUUCAAACUGUCAAUGGAAAUAAAGCCCUUUCUCACU